UCCCAGAGCUUAACUCUGGAACUGCCAUCAAAACUUUUCAGCUAGAGUAUGAUAGAGGAAAGCAGAAUUUCUAGUGUAGAGGUGAAAUUCGUAGAUAUUAGAAAGAAUACCAAUUGCGAAGGCAGCUUUCUGGAUCAUUACUGACACUGAGGAACGAAAGCAUGGGUAGCGAAGAGGAUUAGAUACCCUCGUAGUCCAUGCCGUAAACGAUGUGUGUUAGACGUUGGAAAUUUAUUUUCAGUGUCGCAGCGAAAGCGAUAAACACACCGCCUGGGGAGUACGACCGCAAGGUUAAAACUCAAAUGAAUUGACGGGGACCCGCACAAGUAGUGGAGCAUGUGGUUUAAUUCGAAGAUACGCGCAGAACCUUACCAACACUUGACAUGUUCGUCGCGACUCUAAGAGAUUAGAGUUUUCGGUUCGGCCGGACGAAACACAGGUGCUGCAUGGCUGUCGUCAGCUCGUGUCGUGAGAUGUUGGGUUAAGUCCCGCAACGAGCGCAACCCUCACUUUUAGUUGCCAUCAUUUAGUUGGGCACUCUGAAAGAACUGCCAGUGAUAAGCUGGAGGAAGGUGGGGAUGACGUCAAGUCCUCAUGGCCCUUACGUGUUGGGCUACACACGUGCUACAAUGGCAUCUACAACAGGAAGCAAAACGGCAACGUUAAGCAAAUCCCGAAAAGAUGCCUCAGUUCGGAUUGCACUCUGCAACUCGAGUGCAUGAAGCUGGAAUUACUAGUAAUCGUGGAUCAGCGUGCCACGGUGAAUGCGUUCCCGGGUCUUGUACACACCGCCCGUCACACCAUGGGAGUUGGUUCUACCUUAAGGCAAGGUUUUAAACCCUUGACCACGGUAUAGUCAGCGACUGGGGUGAAGUCGUAACAAGGUAACCAAGGG
rnacentral:rRNA from 1 species